rnacentral:snRNA from 1 species
CCACUUACCUGGCAGGGGAAGCUCCAUGACCACGGAGGCGGGCUCCCCAGGGCAGGUGAUUGUCUCUAAUAUGUUCUCUAUAGGAGGUCUAUAUUGAGCAGAUUUUUUUUGGUGUUGGGUGGUGGAACUGGAGCUUGCUCCGUCUACUC